AACGAACGCUGGCGGCAGGCUUAACACAUGCAAGUCGGGCGCAUCCUUCGGGGUGAGCGGCAGACGGGUGAGUAACGCGUGGGAACGUACCCUUUCCUACGGAAUAGCUCCGGGAAACUGGAAUUAAUACCGUAUACGCCCUUAGGGGGAAAGAUUUAUCGGGGAAGGAUCGGCCCGCGUUGGAUUAGCUAGUUGGUGGGGUAAAGGCCUACCAAGGCGACGAUCCAUAGCUGGUCUGAGAGGAUGAUCAGCCACAUUGGGACUGAGACACGGCCCAAACUCCUACGGGAGGCAGCAGUGGGGAAUAUUGGACAAUGGGCGCAAGCCUGAUCCAGCCAUGCCGCGUGAGUGAUGAAGGCCUUAGGGUUGUAAAGCUCUUUCAGUAGGGAAGAUAAUGACGGUACCUACAGAAGAAGCCCCGGCUAACUUCGUGCCAGCAGCCGCCAUAA
rnacentral:rRNA from 1 species